rnacentral:rRNA from 1 species
CCUACGGGUGGCAGCAGUAGGGAAUAUUGCUCAAUGGGGGAAACCCUGAAGCAGCAACGCCGCGUGGAGGAUGAAGGUUUUCGGAUUGUAAACUCCUUUUGUUAGAGAAGAUAAUGACGGUAUCUAACGAAUAAGCACCGGCUAACUCCGUGCCAGCAGCCGCGGUAAUACGGAGGGUGCAAGCGUUACUCGGAAUCACUGGGCGUAAAGAGCGCGUAGGCGGGAUAGCAAGUCAGAUGUGAAAUCCUAUGGCUUAACCAUAGAACUGCAUUUGAAACUGUUAUUCUAGAGUAUGGGAGAGGUAGGUGGAAUUCUUGGUGUAGGGGUGAAAUGCGUAGAGAUCAAGAAGAAUACUGAUUGCGAAGGCGGCCUGCUAGAACAUAACUGACGCUGAUGCGCGAAAGCGUGGGGAGCAAACAGGAUUAGAUACCCGUGUAGUC